rnacentral:antisense_RNA from 1 species
GUUAAUCUUUUUAAGUUUUCCAUAAUUCAAAACUAAAACCAAACCAAUCAAGAAAACUAUGAAACCAUGACCUACAUCACCAUACAUAAUACCAAAAAGGAAUGGGAAUGAAACUAAAGUGAAUAAAGCUGGAUUCACUUCUUGGUAUCUUGGAAUACCAUAAGAAUUUACAAAGUCCUGGAAUGCAACAGUAAAAUCGUUAGUCUUAAUAUAUGUUGGAGGUGUGUUGGAUAUAUUUGCCUCAUCAUCAUGUGAGCCACCUUCUGAAAUAUGGAUUCCAGCUACUCCAUGACCUCCACUUGAUGUAUUAGUCAGUAAAAAUGCUCCAACAUGCUGAGUGCUACUUUCAGCUAUCAAAAUCUUUCUAAUCUUUUCCUCCUCUUCUGUUGGAUACCAACAAUCAGCUCUUAGUGUUAUAUCUGACCCUUCAAAUAAGUUCAAUGUUGCAUAAAUGGAUUUCUCCUUAAUGCAAAAUAAUCUCCAUUCCUCUAUUAAUGAGUUUCCAUUAUUUGAGUUAACUGGUUGAAGUAAAGUCUCAAUCUCAAGAGUGAUAUAUUGUUCAUAAGCUUGAAGUGCUUUUUCCUUAUCUUGGAUUAAAGUAUUAAGUUCACUAAUUCUUUGAAUUGCAUGUUCAUAGCUUGAUGGCCAAGGAUAAAUCGAUACAUUGAAUGCAUCACAAAUUCUACUAAUCUUAUCAUAAACUGCUGAAGUUGUUGCACCUUGGAAGUAAAUUACAAAAACUACCUUCUGAACAUCUUUACUUGUUUUUGGAUCCAUAAUAUUCUCAGCUAUUGAUUGGAAAUGGGUAAAUGUGUUACCUCUUGUGGCUCUAAAAAGAGCUCUAGCAAAUUUCUCUUGAUCUUCAUGUUUCACCACUCCAGCAAUACUACUGAACAUCAUAUCUCCAAAUCCGGAAACAUUAUUAAUUCCAUCCAUAAUACCUGGAUUCAUUAAAGGAGAUGAUGGUGUGGGAUUUCCUCCAUGCAUUCCACCCUCCCCUCUUUCCACUGCGUUUGUCAUGUAAAAGUCACUAUUUGAUCUUUCAUUGUUGUACAUUGAUAUUGGAGCAAAUGAAAGGCUUGCUGCUUUUGCUACAGCGCAUUCCUCAAUUGCAGAACUUUUUUGGUGGAUUAAAUCUGCAUUAUUAUCUCUAAAACUGAUAAAUUGGCCAUAUAAACUUUGAAGAGAUUCUUCUACUUUAUCUAAUUGAUAAACAUGAUCAUGAUCCAAAAAAUUCUCAUAAUUCCCUUUUAAUACUUUCACAUCUGGGAGUUUCUCAAUCUCAGAAAAUAGUACACGAAGUAUACGUUCC